rnacentral:rRNA from 1 species
AGAGUUUGAUCCUGGCUCAGGAUAAACGCUGGCGGCGUGCCUAAUACAUGCAAGUCGAGCGGCAACACGGUCUUCGGACUGGUGGCGAGCGGCGGACGGCUGAGUAACGCGUAGGAAUGUACCCCAAAGUGAGGGAUAAGCACCAGAAAUGGUGUCUAAUACCGCAUAUGCUCUAAGGAGUAAAGCUUCGGCGCUUUGGG